ensembl:snoRNA
AAUGCACACAAAAACCCAAAGAAUAUUGUUCCUAGUAAUGAUGUUCUUGUCAUGUGUGCAAAUAUUAUAUGUAUCUUGUCGCCUUUGAACAGUUGAAGUGCUGUUGAAAGUGAAACUUAAGGUCCUACAUGU